GGUAGUAAGGGGAUCUUGCUGGAGAUCUCUGUGUACCUGAGGCCUUCUAAAGAGGAAAAGCUGCCCAGACAAACCUCGAGGAUGAAGGGACUUCUUGCAGGAUUGGAAUCGCACAUGGAGCAGAGCCAUGGAGGGGAUGCCUCCAUUAGAGCUCCUUGCUGAGACCCUUUCUUGACUGGAAAGGACAGAUGCUGAUCUGUGCAGUACCCAAGGCAAUGGCUUUGCUGCUGAGUCCAAGUGCUGAACAGGGCAUGUUCUGCCCCAUCCAACCUGGAGUUCCUCCCUCUGGGAGUCUUUUGCAGCUGCUUCUCACAAUGCCAGAGAGUUUCCGGAUUUCGACCUGGGAUGACUUUGGGAUAACCUCCUCAAGGACCAAAACAAGGCAUCAUACCAGACACUGAAGAACACAGUUCUGUCCCAGCUGAGGGACAGGUCACUGCUAGGGGAAAAAUAAUUCACCUUGCUUUCAAUCUACAUUUGUUUAGCUUUGGCUUUCAGACCACCUGAAGAGAGCAGCUCUAAAUGAUUCAGGGUAAGCGUAGUUGAGUAGAUUCUUCCACUACCAAGAGGCUGAAGUGGAUCACACUGUUCAGGUGUGAGACACCCAAUUAAUGUGAUGGAUAGGGUUAUAAAAGGCGAAGCCUCUGCAGGACGAGGUACCCCUGUCAGGGAGGGAAGUGGGGAUUUCCUGGCUUGGGGGGCUCUGACACACAGCUUUGGUUGGAAGAGGGCAUCUGAGGUGCAGCUGUCAUGAAAGAAGGGGGGAGAACUGAUUGUCCCAGUGAGGAAGGUAGCAGUGCCUUGUGAUGUGUGUUAGGAGGGAGAAAAAUGGAGGAGAUUAGGAUGGAAUGCUGCACGUAGGGCAGCCUUUCCCAGGGCUGUUGUGCUACCAAUGCAUUUUCAGUUUUGCCUGCGGCUACCAAACUGCCUGGCAGCAGUAGGAAGAUGUCUGCAGUUCAGCACUUGAAAUCAGGGUACCAAGGGCAGCUGGAGGAUUUGCUCUACUCCUUGUCCUGGUUCAGCCCCCCAGGGAUACUGAGCUGCAGAGUGGGAUGCGGGGUCCAGGCUGUGGUCAGGAGCUUCAUAUUCAUGUCACACAGACGUGGGAAAACUCCCCAGGCCUACAGGCUGGAAACAAGACCACAAAAAGCUGCGCUGAUUUCACAUGCAAGGCAGGAGGCAGCUUCAGGAGCCUUUCAGUGCAAACCUCUGGUACCGGAGAGCUCGCCUACACUGAGCUGACCCUAACACCAUUCUGUCAAGGUGAAAGAACAAAGGUAAGGCAGAAACGCUUCUUUUAGUGUACACUGCUUUAGCAGCACUUCCAUUUUAGUGCAAAACAGCCCUGGGUCCUUAAAAAUGCAGGAUUGGAUGAGAUGGCUGCAUCCAGGUGCUCCACAGCUGCAACCAAAGGGAAGAUCUUCCUAACCACAUCUGUAAUUUGUUGACAUAUAUGUUGCCACUGUAAGAAGCCAUAUCCCUUCAAAAUCCUCUGUCUGAUCUUAACUCAUCCUGUUUGAAUCCUGGGCAGCCCAUUCCCUUGAUCUGAUGGAAGACUUCUCCAUGUCCUGAUUCCACUGUGCCAUGAUUAGAAAUAGCAUUACUACUGCAACAAAGAGCUCAGCAAGAGUCAGAACGACGCACUGCAUCAGGCGGGGGAAUUUUCAUGAACUCAGCAUUUUGUUUUUAAACUGCAACUGUCUCUAAUUAACAACUUUUCUGCUCGUGAAGGAUACUCGGUCUCUAACUGAGGCUGCAAGUUCAUCAAGUGAGGGCACUUGGUGCUAGAGAAAGUCCUUCCUUACUGUCACCAUGCCUUGGAUUUGUGAAAGUUUAAUUAUCACAGCAAUCAUUUGUCCAGUGUUGAAAACCUGUGAGGACAGAAAGAAAAGUCAAUAAGUUUGACCUCACUUCUGGGAGGGGAACUCCUGGGAGUCAUUACAAGUCAACUGUGGAAGAAUCAACACGCUGGUUUUAAUGGAUGAGUCUGAAACAAAUUCUUUCCAGUGCCAACAUUCUUCUGUUCUCCAACCCACACCCGAAUGAGCAGAGAACUGAGGCCGUCUUCUGCAGUGAAAGUCCUCCUCCACCUCAGGUGUCUGAGCUGAGAGCAAGAGGAAAAGUGGAAAAUAAUUUAUAGGACCAGAAGGGAAACCAAGUUUGUCAGUAUUUCCUCAAGUUGCAAAAGCAGCAGCAAUAUAUUCAAAUGUGGUCAGAUGUGACACGCUCAUUUUUCUCACUUAGGUCCUGGUUCUGGAAAAUGUCUCCGCAAAGCACUUCAGUGUGUGCUGAUGUUCAGACCUGGGUGCGAACCCCACGCAGCCCAGAGGAACUCAAGCAAGUGCUUACAGAUAAGCAUGAAUGCACUCAAGUGGUGUCCUGAUUAGGGCAUGUGCUUAAGUGGCUCCUUGAGCUGGAGCCUCUGGCUUUGAACAGGCAUUCCCAUUCUCUGUGUGUUAUGCAGACAGAACUAACUAAACACUCGCUUGUUUUCUAUAGCACUGACCAUAACCACCUCAAGCACCAGGGCAGCAGACACGAGCAGGAAAAUUGACUCUGAUCAUCCCUGGGGUCGUUUAACUAAAACACACAUUUCAGUCGAGCCAAGUGUUCACCAGUGCUUUUCAACUCCCCUGGUGUCAAAACAAUUAGCAGAUCACAGCAGCACCGACUCGCUGGUGCUCCAGUGGAAGCAUCUGGCCAGCACAUGGAGACAUAAUGCCAGCACAGAGUGAGUUCCUCCUGCGAUGCUGUUUGGGUGACUCUUCCAUCACCGGAUGGGUUACACAAUUCAGAUUUCUUGAAAACAGAUCACUGCUUUAAUUCUUGGUUUGUCUAAAAGGAGGUGGAUGGUGGC